CCCCCCCCCCCCCUAAAUCCGCCUCUGAUGAUUGUAUUUGAUUAGUUAACAAAUUCUUCACUGAAACUUCUAGCCAGAAUUUGUUAAUAACAGAAUCGUUUUGAAAUCUGCCAUGUCUCAUUGAAUUUUUUUAAAAGUCAUCAAAUAUACUAGGUUUAUAUUUUGAACGCCAGACGUGCCUUUUUUUUUUACAUAUGAAUCAUUAUUGGCACUUGAAUAAAAAAAAUCAAAUGCGAAGCAUACAUCAACAGUUGCAACGAUCUCAAUAGUUUUGGUUCGAAUACACUAGUGCAACACGUCAACACGAACAGUUGGUUCACGUACCAUAGAGUAACGCAUUACAAUAAGUUCAAUUAUCAUUCAGUUAAAAUAAUCUAUAUUCCUUACAUUUGUAAUUAGGUCGUCUGAUCUUAGGAUUGAAAUAUCUAUGGUAUGCUGGUUCGUGACACUGACCAAAUUUUCAUGUUUAUUAUUCAUAUAGGUUCGAUAGUAUAAAUGCGAAUAUGACAGACAUAUUGUGUCUCGUCGAUCUCAUUAUAAUGUUAAGUGAUUCAAGCUAUUUAUAAGUUUUUCUUUAUCUUCUUCAGUAUUAAUAUUAUGUGUAUUUUACCGUAUCGUAUAUAAAAUACAUAAAUAUGCAAAUACAAGGGAACGUACGUAGGAGGAUUUCAAAUUAGACAACUAUCCAAUGAAUGGCGAAUUGAAACAAUGUGAACAAUAUCAUGUACAAUAACAUAACCAGACAGGGCCUUCAAAAAGAACAAAACCGAUACCAAAAACUAGGUGAUGAGUCUCUUGAUAUGAAAAUGCAAAAGAAAAAUAAAAGGUUAUUUAAUGGAAUGGCACUUUAUUCCAUUAUAUUCUUUCCAUUGAACAACCUAAUUAGCACACAUUGAUGACUAGAGCAAUCUUUAAAUUGAUCUAUUGAAAAUGAUUUCAUGUGUAAUUUCUACUUACUAACAGGUAUUUGAAAAUGUCCGGGUAAUUUUA
rnacentral:lncRNA from 1 species